GGGACCUGGGCAGGGGGCGGAGUGGUUCCCGUCCCGUCCAGGUCCCGCUCCCGUUCCCGGGGCCCGUGUUUCUGAGAUCAGCAGAUUCGUAGCAAGGAUUUCCUGAAGUGAGGAACCCAGCAACGUAGAGGAGAAUCUCCAUUUCAGAGGAGCUGAAAGGUGUAUUUCCAGUCUCUUCUGUUCACGGAUGGCCCUGGGAAUGUAAACUGAUGCAAACAGGAUCACCAGGAUUAGAACUUCUUCACAGACUCCUCCUAAAAAAGAACUGCUAUUCACAGUUCUCUCUCAAGCUCUUAGAGAUAGCUUUGGAGGAUCGUGAAACAUUGCCUUGUGUCUGUCCCCUGUGUGCUGGGGUGGGGGAAAGACCCUGGAGUCUUUGACUAAUGACUAAAAGCAUUCACAUCCCACACACUUUUGAUUUUAUUGGAAAGUUUUAGUGGAGACCUUCCCCCAUCCCGUUGCCUAGUGUGUCAUUAACAUUUUGUGACAGGGGAAUGACUGAGCAGGAAUUAGCAUUAUUUCGCAAGGGGAAAGAUGGUUAUAGGGGAGUGUGAAAAAAGGCACACACGGAAAGACAGGGGAGGUGAAAACACCUGAGCUAUAUUUGGGGGAGUGUGAAAGUGAUCGUUUGGGAAAUCAUGCUGGUGUGCUGUCUCCUUUCAGAGAUGCUACUGAACAGCAUCACUUCAGUCUUGCCUCAUAGGAACAGAGUCCAGGGACACCAAUGGAAAUAACGUGCUUUUGGCAUCGGUACGUGCUGGGAAACAACCAGGGAUGGCUAUUGGUACGCUAACAUAUGCACAUACACACACAGAGAGUUACCUUGUCCUUGUUAGGAGAGACUUCAGGCAGAGACUGUUUAUCUUGCAGAACAGAGGAGGCUGUUGUAACUCUUAAGACAAUCUCUGUGCAGAGUUCUGUCUUUGCAGUGGACAUCAUGUUCCUUUGCAGCUCAGCUUGAUCAAAGCAAUGAAGAAAUAAGGGUCAUAGACAUCGUACUGGCAUAUCCAAGUAUAGACAGCCAGGUUGUUACUAACUAAAAGGAGAAAAUCUUCCCGGUUUGGAUGACUGGGGAUGGGGCAAAACAGCUUGGAAGUCUCGUCAUGGUGCUUGAAUGCCUAUCAGAUGUGACUUCUACUGUGCGAAGUGCUCCCGAUGUAUUCGUUCACUGUUUUCACACCUUUAAUUUGCUUGUCCGGCCUCAUUAGCCUAGCUUCUGCUAAUAAAUCUUUCUCAUAAAUUA